rnacentral:rRNA from 1 species
CAAUAGCGUAUAUUUAAGUUGCUGCAGUUAAAAAGCUCGUAGUUGGAUUUCGGGUGGGAAUGGCCGGUCCGCCGUUUCGGUGUGCACUUGCUACGCCCACCUUGCUGCCGGGGACGUGCUCUUGAGUUCACGCUCGGGACACGGAGUCGGCGAGGUUACUUUGAGUAAAUUAGAGUGAUCAAAGCAGGCCUACGCUCUGAAUACAUUAGCAUGGAAUAACACGAUAGGACUCUGGCCUAUCUUGUUGGUCUGUAGGACCGGAGUAAUGAUUAAGAGGGACAGUCGGGGGCAUUCGUAUUUCAUUGUCAGAGGUGAAAUUCUUGGAUUUAUGAAAGACGAACUACUGCGAAAGCAUUUGCCAAGGAUGUUUUCAUUAA